GAAGUGCGAAUGCUGACAUGAGUAGCGACAAAGAGGGUGAGAUGCCCUCUCGCCGAAAGACCAAGGGUUCCUGCGCAACGCUAAUCGGCGCAGGGUAAGCCGGCCCCUAAGACGAGCCCGAAGGGGGUAGUCGAUGGGAACCACGUUAAUAUUCGUGGGCCUGGAGAUGUGUGACGGAUGGUGGAAGUAGUUCGACCUUAUUGGAUUGGUCGGGCUGCCAAAUCGUUCCAGGAAAUAGCCUCUCCAUAUAGACCGUACCCGAAACCGACACAGGUGGUCAGGUAGAGUAUACCAAGGCGCUUGAGAGAAGUAUCCUGAAGGAACUCGGCAAAUUGCCUCCGUACCUUCGGAAGAAGGAGGCCCCAUCUUAAGGCAACUUUUGGUGGGGGGCACAGGCCAGGGGGUAGCGACUGUUUAUCAAAAACACAGGACUCUGCUAAGUCGGCUUCAAGACGACGUAUAGGGUCUGACGCCUGCCCGGUGCCGGAAGGUUAAGAGGAGAGGUGCAAGCUUUGAAUUGAAGCCCCGGUAAACGGCGGCCGUAACAAUAACGGUCCUAAGGUAGCGAAAUUCCUUGUCGGGUAAGUUCCGACCUGCACGAAUGGCGUAACGACUUCCCCGCUGUCUCCAACAUCGACUCAGCGAAAUUGAAUUGCCUGUCAAGAUGCAGGCUUCCCGCGGUUAGACGGAAAGACCCCGUGCACCUUUACUACAGCUUCACACUGGUAUUCGUCACGACAUGUGUAGGAUAGGUGGUAGACGUUGAAGCAGGAGCGCCAGCUCUUGUGGAGUCACCCUUGAAAUACCACCCUUGUCGUCAUGGAUAUCUAACCGCGGUACAACAAUAUCCGGGACCGUGUGUGGCGGGUAGUUUGACUGGGGCGGUCGCCUCCUAAA
rnacentral:rRNA from 1 species